UCCCUAUUGGCUUAGAUGGUAAAGAAUUUGUCUGCAAUGCCAGAGACCCAGGUUUGAUCCCUGGGUUGGGAA
rnacentral:tRNA from 1 species